AGAGAGAUGGCAGAGCGGUUUAAUGCAUCUAACUUGAAAUUAGACAAAAAAAUUUUCGUGGGUUCAAAUCCCAUUCUCUCUU